GACGUUAGCGGCGGACGGGUGAGUAACACGUGGAUAACCUACCUAUAAGACUGGGAUAACUUCGGGAAACCGGAGCUAAUACCGGAUAAUAUAUUGAACCGCAUGGUUCAAUAGUGAAAGACGGUUUUGCUGUCACUUAUAGAUGGAUCCGCGCCGCAUUAGCUAGUUGGUAAGGUAACGGCUUACCAAGGCGACGAUGCGUAGCCGACCUGAGAGGGUGAUCGGCCACACUGGAACUGAGACACGGUCCAGACUCCUACGGGAGGCAGCAGUAGGGAAUCUUCCGCAAUGGGCGAAAGCCUGACGGAGCAACGCCGCGUGAGUGGUGAAGGUCUUCGGAUCGUAAAACUCUGUUAUUAGGGAAGAACAAAUGUGUAAGUAACUAUGCACGUCUUGACGGUACCUAAUCAGAAAGCCACGGCUAACUACGUGCCAGCAGCCGCGGUAAUACGUAGGUGGCAAGCGUUAUCCGGAAUUAUUGGGCGUAAAGCGCGCGUAGGCGGUUUUUUAAGUCUGAUGUGAAAGCCCACGGCUCAACCGUGGAGGGUCAUUGGAAACUGGAAAACUUGAGUGCAGAAGAGGAAAGUGGAAUUCCAUGUGUAGCGGUGAAAUGCGCAGAGAUAUGGAGGAACACCAGUGGCGAAGGCGACUUUCUGGUCUGUAACUGACGCUGAUGUGCGAAAGCGUGGGGAUCAAACAGGAUUAGAUACCCUGGUAGUCCACGCCGUAAACGAUGAGUGCUAAGUGUUAGGGGGUUUCCGCCCCUUAGUGCUGCAGCUAACGCAUUAAGCACUCCGCCUGGGAAGUACGACCGCAAGGUUG
rnacentral:rRNA from 1 species